UGCAGUCGACGGCAGCACGGGGGCAACCCUGGUGGCGAGUGGCGAACGGGUGAGUAACACAUCGGAACGUACCCANGUGUGGGGGAUAACCCACCGAAAGGUGGGCUAAUACCGCAUGAUCUGGCGACAGCAAAGCGGGGGACUGGUAACGGCCUCGCGCGAUUGGAGCGGCCGAUGUCCGAUUAGCUAGUUGGUGGGGUAAAGGCCUACCAAGGCGACGAUCGGUAGCUGGUCUGAGAGGAUGAUCAGCCACACUGGGACUGAGACACGGCCCAGACUCCUACGGGAGGCAGCAGUGGGGAAUUUUGGACAAUGGGGGCAACCCUGAUCCAGCCAUGCCGCGUGAGUGAAGAAGGCCUUCGGGCUGUAAAGCUCUUUCGGUAGGAACGAAACGGUUACGACUAAUACUCGUGACUAAUGACGGUACUUACAGAAGAAGCACCGGCUAACUACGUGCCAGCAGCCGCGGUAAUACGUAGGGUGCGAGCGUUAAUCGGAAUUACUGGGCGUAAAGCGUGCGCAGGCGGUUAUUUAAGUCAGGUGUGAAAGCCCUGGGCUUAACCUAGAAUUGCGCUUGAGACUGGAUAGCUUGAUGCGGCAGAGGAGGU
rnacentral:rRNA from 1 species